UACGUAGGGAGCAAGCGUUGUCCGGAAUCAUUGGGCGUAAAGCGCGCGUAGGUGGCCUCGUAAGUCCGCUGUGAAAGUCCAAGGCUCAACCUUGGAAAGUCGGUGGAUACUGUGGGGCUAGAGUACGGAAGAGGCGAGUGGAAUUCCUGGUGUAGCGGUGGAAUGCGCAGAUAUCAGGAGGAACACCAAUAGCGAAGGCAGCUCGCUGGGACGUUACUGACACUGAGGCGCGAAAGCGUGGGGAGCGAACAGG
rnacentral:rRNA from 1 species